AAGGUUUUAGCUUAAUUAAAGCACUUGGGUUGCAUUCAAGAGAUGUGAAGUAAAGUUUUGCAAACCUUA
rnacentral:tRNA from 1 species